GACGAACGCUGGCGGCGUGCCUAACACAUGCAAGUCGAACGGGGGUUGAGUGCUUCGGUAUUCAACUUAGUGGCGAACGGGUGAGUAACGCGUGAAGAACCUGCCUUUCAGUGGGGGACAACAGUUGGAAACGACUGCUAAUACCGCAUGACACUUUUUGGGGGCAUCCCCGAGAAGUCAAAGCUUUAUGUGCUGAAAGAUGGCUUCGCGUCUGAUUAGCUAGUUGGUGGGGUAACGGCCCACCAAGGCGACGAUCAGUAGCCGGUCUGAGAGGAUGAACGGCCACAUUGGGACUGAGACACGGCCCAGACUCCUACGGGAGGCAGCAGUGGGGGAUAUUGCACAAUGGGGGAAACCCUGAUGCAGCGACGCCGCGUGAGGGAAGACGGUCCUCUGGAUUGUAAACCUCUGUCUUCGGGGACGAAACGAGACGGUACCCGAGGAGGAAGCCACGGCUAACUACGUG
rnacentral:rRNA from 1 species